rnacentral:rRNA from 1 species
UACGUAGGGUGCAAGCGUUAUCCGGGAUUAUUGGGCGUAAAGGGUUGCGUAGGCGGUUUGUUAAGUUAUUAGUGAAAUCCUCCGGCUUAACUGGAGGCCCGCUAAUAAUACUGGCAGACUAGAAGCAUGGAGGGGAAAGCGGAACUCUUGGUGUAGGGGUGAAAUCCGUUGAUAUCAAGAGGAACACCAAAGGCGUAGGCAGCUUUCUGGUCAUGUUUUGACGCUGAGGCACGAAAGCGUGGGGAGCGAAACGGAUUAGAUACCCGCGUA